UGUUAUUGUACGAAGUGAUCGUCACCUA
rnacentral:sRNA from 1 species